CCACUGUUCCCCCUCGGGGCACCCUCCCACCAUCUCCCCCCUCCAGAACGGCGACGGCUUUGUGGAUAGCGAUGCCAAGCUGCAGAAGAUCGUAGCCGCCAUCAAGGCCUCCCUGUCGUAGCCGUCGGCGGACGCCCCACCACCGCCUUCACCCGCCUAGCGAAGCACCACGAGCGUCCGCCUCGCUCGGGUCGGCCGAGCGCUCCAUGACGGGAGCCGCCGAAACGUCCGCGGACACCGGGCGGUUUCCAGACCCCGCGCGCAGGAUGCCGGCCGGAGGGAGGCGGACGGCCGUCGAGCUUCGCACCCCAAGCUGUUUUGUGUAUUUUUUUUUAAUUAUGAAUUAUUUUUUGGUUUGGUGUUUUCCUCCACGCCAUCCGCUCGCCGUCGAGGCGGUCGCUCUCAGCUCCAGCGCGCUGGGGCGAGCGAUUCCGCCUUGGCACGCGCCGCUAACGCGCACAGAAAGCUUCUGCUGGGUUGAAAAGUAAGGAAAUAAGGGUCGAUGUUCAAGAAUGAUUCACUGGGCAGCGCAGUAUGAGGUAUGAGUCGCGCAAUUCUCAGGGCUUGCCCGAAAUAACACUAAUUUAACUUUUUUUUUCCCCCCCUCCGCCCAGCAGCAGCUCGGCGGAGAGCUUCUGCCGUGCCGUCUCGGUUGCCUUCUGUGAGCGUGUCGCCGUUUGGGGACGUUUCUCAAUAAAAAAAGCGUGGAAACUUUGA